UGGGGAAUCUUGCACAAUGGGGGCAACCCUGAUGCAGCGACGCCGCGUGAGCGAUGAAGCCCUUCGGGGCGUAAAGCUCUUUCGACCGGAACGAUAAUGACGGUACCGGGAGAAGAAGCUGCGGCUAACUACGUGCCAGCAGCCGCGGUAAUACGUAGGCAGCAAGCGUUGUUCGGAGUUACUGGGCGUAAAGAGUGCGUAGGCGGUUUUCUAAGUUCGGUGUGAAAUCUCCCGGCUUAACUGGGAGGGUGCGCCGAAGACUGGGAAGCUGGAGUGUGGGAAAGGCAGGCGGAAUUCCUGGUGUAGCGGUGAAAUGCGUAGAUAUCAUGAGGAACACCGGCGGUGUAGACGGCUUGCUAGACCAUAACUGACGCUGAGGCACGAAAGCGUGGGUAGCAAACA
rnacentral:rRNA from 1 species